rnacentral:rRNA from 1 species
UCAGGACGAACGCUGGCGGCGUGCUUAACACAUGCAAGUCGAACGAUGAAGCCUAGCUUGCUAGGUGGAUUAGUGGCGAACGGGUGAGUAAUACGUGAGUGACCUACCUUUGACUCUGGGAUAAGCCUGGGAAACUGGGUCUAAUACCGGAUACGACCAAUCUCCGCAUGGGGUGUUGGUGGAAAGCGUUAUGGAGUGGUUUUAGAUGGGCUCCGGCCUAUCAGCUUGUUGGUGAGGUAAUGGCUUACCAAGGCGACGACGGGUAGCCGGCCUGAGAGGGUGACCGGCCACACUGGGACUGAGACACGGCCCAGACUCCUACGGGAGGCAGCAGUGGGGAAUAUUGCACAAUGGGCGCAAGCCUGAUGCAGCGACGCCGCGUGAGGGAUGACGGCCUUCGGGUUGUAAACCUCUGUUAGCAUCGAAGAAGCGAAAGUGACGGUAGGUGCAGAGAAAGCGCCGGCUAACUACGUGCCAGCAGCCGCGGUAAUACGUAGGGCGCGAGCGUUGUCCGGAAUUAUUGGGCGUAAAGAGCUUGUAGGCGGUUGGUCGCGUCUGCUGUGAAAGGCUGGGGCUUAACCCUGGUUUUGCAGUGGGUACGGGCUAACUAGAGUGCAGUAGGGGAGACUGGAAUUCCUGGUGUAGCGGUGGAAUGCGCAGAUAUCAGGAGGAACACCGAUGGCGAAGGCAGGUCUCUGGGCUGUAACUGACGCUGAGAAGCGAAAGCAUGGGGAGCGAACAGGAUUAGAUACCCUGGUAGUCCAUGCCGUAAACGUUGGGCACUAGGUGUGGGGGACAUUCCACGUUUUCCGCGCCGUAGCUAACGCAUUAAGUGCCCCGCCUGGGGAGUACGGCCGCAAGGCUAAAACUCAAAGAAAUUGACGGGGGCCCGCACAAGCGGCGGAGCAUGCGGAUUAAUUCGAUGCAACGGAGAACCUUACCAAGCUUGACAUAUACUGGACUGCGUCAGAGAUGGCGUUUCCCUUCGGGGCUGGUAUACAGGUGGUGCAUGGUUGUCGUCAGCUCGUGUCGUGAGAUGUUGGGU